CCGGGUUAAUAAACCAAUCAAUACGGGUUUGACUUUUAGUUUAAGUCAAUAGAGUGCAACUUCUUUAUACUUGGUUCCACUCUAUUGCAUGCAUAGGUUAUUUAUGGCAAAGGUUUGUUUGUUCCAACUUCAUUCAAAUACAGCGACAUUAGAAGUUCACUUGAAGCUGAGAGCAAAGUGCCAAUUCUCCUGUUAAGAUGAAUAGCAAGUUGAUCGUGAUUGUGCUGAUACUGGUUUUGCUAACAACUCUUCAUGAAAGCGAUGCCUGGCGAAGACGAAGAAGAGCUGGACUUCUUCAUAAAAAAUCCAAAAACCCGUUGCCAAUGAGAAAGGAAGAUGCUAAACCCAAACACACUGAUGACCGAAARUAUGAAGACGAGAUCAUGGAGGAUUUGAUGAAGGAAUUAGAUCAAACGGACCUCUGAAAGUCUCGAGUCUUUGUAAUAUGUUUAUUAUGACUCUCUAAGUAAAGGGAUUCAAUUUCAAUAAAGUGUAUUUUGUUUUCAAA